rnacentral:misc_RNA from 1 species
AACCCUCUGCAAGUUGUUAACAGACCUGUAACUCGAUCCAUUGCAUGGGAUCUUAACAGUGUCUCUCAAAUUUCUCAAUCUUUAUGUGUGUGUGAGAUAUUUCAAGCUUCACACUGUGUCAGAAACCCCUCACUCAUUUAACACUACAUCUGGGUGUUGAUGUAAUGCAUCCCUAGACUGACAAAUCCCAAUGUGUAAAUCAAAAGGAUCCAUACCAAUGAAAAUUGACUGAAUUUAUGAUGGCUGUCAACCUACUGCAACCCUUCUCAUUUCCCAUUAUUCUUUCUUCUACUUUUUUUACCUUAUUCUCUCCUCCUUUAGUUGGUUGUUACGGCUAAUAAACCUUUAUUAAAACAUACUAUAACAGUUGUUUCAACCGAUACACAUUACACAGGCAUUUCACAAUUAAGUAAGAACCACAUGGAGUGUAUCAAAAAAUAUUGAAUCGGUCCUUAAAAAAUCCUUUGCAUAUUGACCAAUACAAUAUGUAACAAACCAUAUGGAUGAUUCGGUAGUAAAGCAACAAGAGUGAUUUUGAUAGGGAUGUGGAAUAGAGCCUGGAAAAUCCCGGAGAAUUCUAGGGGAAUUUGUAACAGAAAGGAUGA